rnacentral:rRNA from 1 species
UACGUAGGUGGCGAGCGUUGUCCGGAUUUACUGGGCGUAAAGCGCGCGCAGGUGGUGCGGUAAGUCUGUCGUGAAAUCUCCCGGCUCAACUGGGAGGGUGCGGUGGAGACUGCCGGACUGGAGGCACUCAGAGGCCGGUGGAAUUCCCGGUGUAGUGGUGAAAUGCGUAGAGAUCGGGAGGAACACCAGUGGCGAAGGCGGCCGGCUGGGGGUGACCUGACGCUGGGGCGCGAAAGCGUGGGGAGCGAACCGG